rnacentral:tRNA from 1 species
GUCACUUUGGCGGAGUGGUUAACGCGUUGCCCUGCUAUCUAACCAUAGUCGACAGGCAAUUCCCUCGGGAGCACAGGUUCGAAUCCUGUAGGUGACG